AGGAGAUCAGCAAACAAGAGAUCGAUAUCGUUCAUCGUUUUUUUCUUGUCCUUGAUUUUUUCAGAAUUUGUUGCGCUUGUUGUUUUUUGAUAUUUUCAUUUUGAAUUUCUGUGUUUUAAUUUUAACAUUUUUUAGGUUUCUUAGAUCUGUUUUGUUAGGUUUAUGAUAACGAGUUCCUGAAUUCAAUACACAUGGUGAUGAAUUUGAUUAUCCUGAAUUUCGUGGAACUUUCACAACCAAGUAGGGAAUCUGUGUGGCCUCCUUCACCUGGUGCUCCUCCAUCAUCGGAUUCGGAGGAAAGUUCUUCCAAGGUUAAAGGUGGUGGUGGUGGUAGUAAUAACAGCAGCAGUAGCAAUAAUAAUAAUCAGGCUGUGGUUGAUGCCUUGGCAUCAGAAUGACUGGUUUGAGUUUUGAAGAAAGUGAUGAUGAUGAGAAUUUUUAGUAUGGUAAAGGAGAUUUUACGGAACAUGCUUGUAGGUAUUGUGGUGUUCAGAAUCCAGCUUGUGUUGUUAGGUGUAACGUUCCUUCCUAUUGAAAAUGGUUUUGUAAUUCUCGUGAAACACUUCUGGUUCUCAUAUCCUUAAUCAUCUGGAUUCGCAUUUACUGGUGGUGGAUUGUGUACUGGACAUAGAAAAAACUAGACUAGAGAAAACUCUAGAAGUACUGCAGAAGAUAUUUCAUUGGAGGAAGAGGGUUGCAGAGAGAAAAUGAAGGAGUUGGUUUAAAAACGUCGUUGGGUGAUGGACGCGUGGAGUUUUGAGUUUUUGAUAUCGGAAAGAUGUUGUAUCCGGAAAAUAAUUCCUGCCAGAAAUGGAGAGAGACUGGUAAUAAUGCAAUUAACACCGGUAUCAUCACAUGUAUUAUCGUACAAUGAUUUUACCACUUGGUGACUCAUACAGCACCAUAUGAUGCUAUUAAGGUUGUUGCUUGCACCGGGUUUA